rnacentral:rRNA from 1 species
UGGGUGGAUUAGUGGCGAACGGGUGAGUAAUACGUGGGUAACCUGCCCUCCUUUUUGGGAUAAGCCUUGGAAACGGGGUCUAAUACCGAAUAUUCUGGCGCUCUCGCAUGGRGKUGUUGGGAAAGCUUUUGUGUGAAGGGGGAUGGGCUCGCGGCCUAUCAGCUUGUUGGUGGGGUGAUGGCCUACCAAGGCGGUGACGGGUAGCCGGCCUGAGAGGGUGACCGGCCACAUUGGGACUGAGAUACGGCCCAGACUCCUACGGGAGGCAGCAGUGGGGGAUAUUGCACAAUGGGCGAAAGCCUGAUGCAGCGACGCCGCGUGGGGGAUGAAGGCUUUCGGGUUGUAAACCUCUUUCGCUAUCGAACAAGGCCCGCUUAGGGUGGGUUGAGGGUAGGUGGAGAAGAAGCGCCGGCUAACUACGUGCCAGCAGCCGCGGUAAUACGUAGGGCGCGAGCGUUGUCCGGAAUUAUUGGGCGUAAAGGGCUUGUAGGCGGCUUGUUGCGCCUGCUGUGAAAACGCGGGGCUUAACUUCGCGCGUGCAGUGGGUACGGGCAGGCUUGAGUGUGGUAGGGGUGACUGGAAUUCCAGGUGUAGCGGUGGAAUGCGCAGAUAUCUGGAGGAACACCGAUGGCGAAGGCAGGUCACUGGGCCAUUACUGACGCUGAGGAGCGAAAG